rnacentral:lncRNA from 1 species
UUCUUGUGAGGUUUAGUUCUAUUAUUCCUCUCCAUAUUUAUUUUAAAUUUAUCUGCUAUGAAAUUUUGGUGUAAUGAAUCUGCAUUCCAUGAUGAGCAAACGAAUCUUCAUCCCCAAUAUAUGUAUGUGUGUGUGGGUGCUACCUUUUCGGAAAGGAUCUGCAAUGCUAUUUGUAGAACAGUUUUUUUUUUUGUUCCUUUUCCAGAAAGGAUCUGCAAUGCUAUUUGUAGAACAGUGCUACCUUUUCGGAAAGGAUCUGCAAUGCUAUUUGUAGAACAGUUUUUUUUUUUGUUCCUUUUCCAGAACACUGUUCACACUCUUUUUUUCAUGUCACUCAAAACAUGUCUGCACAUCAUCUGAGCUGCAUGUUCAUUUCUUUUUUUAAUUUAAUAUCUACACAAAAUUCUUGGUUUAAUAGCUAUCUGCAGAAAUCUUCAGAUUCUUUAUCACGCAACAUCAUUUUCUUAUGAUUUCUAGGUGCAAAUUCGUCUAGGGUUUUGAAUGAUGAACAGUUUCUCUUUUCUUUAUCAAGCAUUUAUUUUGAAUGCCAAGUUUGUCAUAAACAC